GAGAGAGGCUCGCAAGCAACAAAGACUGCUAAUCCUUGCCACCUUGGUUAAACUCCAAGGCUCACUCG
rnacentral:tRNA from 1 species